rfam:Burkholderia sp. AD24 chromosome I sequence.
GCGCAAUCCGCCAAACGGUCAGGCCGUGUCGCGGAAGGUUCUGUAACCCGCUAUUUCUCGAGAAACUCGAAGAAAGGUGAGCG